AUGUCACGAUGUGGGCAUGCUUGGAUGUAAUCUUGGAGUCAUUCCCAUGCCUCAGGAAUUGAUUCCAUGGCACUCUGUUGGAAGUUUGAAAUUCUUCCUCUCAGGACAU
rnacentral:snoRNA from 1 species